CUGCCCUCGCCCAGGACCCUCUUGGCCCGCGCGGCCGCGGCCUCUUCUCCACGAUCCCGGCCCCCUGCCCCCUGCCCGGCUGGUUUUAUCGGGGAUCAUAAGGACAGUCACCACCUAACUAGGAGCAAAUCCCCAACAAUCGAGGAAACAGGGCGCUCCUGCCUUGCGCCCCCAGGCUGGCGUUGGGAGUUCUUUAGAGCCAGCGCUGCGGAGCCCCAGCACCCGGAACGUAGAGAGGCUGUGGAGGCAUGGGGCAAAUUGUGCCCGCAGCCUGGGGCCUAGAGCUGCAUCUGUGCACCGGGCCUCCAGGAGCCCGGCUCAGUGGACGAAAUCUGGCAUGCUCGGACGUCACCCCACAGGCCUCACGCCUCAGAGGGACCCCGAAAGCAAUGCAAGAACAGCCUACUACACCAACAGAAAACACCAUCCAAGAACAACAUCAAAGGAUACGAUUGGUACAAUGGGAGAAUCGGAAGGAGGAAAGAGAAGAAGGGGCAGGAGAAAUGGCGGAAUGGCAAGAAUGUCCCCAAAUUAAUGACAGACACCAAACCAUAGAUCCAGGAAACAUACAGAACAUCCAUCAGGACAAAUAACAAAAAACAUAAAGCAAAACAAAACAAAAAACCACACCUAGGCUUGUCACAUUCAAACUGAAUAAACCUGCCUGACUGAACCCUCGUCCACCAGCCACAGCUACACCUCUGACAAGACAAGAGACAGAUUUCAGUAACUCUCCUGUGCACCCUAAAAUCAGCAGCGUCUUAGAUUUAGGGCCUCAGAAACAAGGCCAUCCACACUGGAUCCGAGGGGCAACUGGGCACCUCCAUGGGCACCCAUGCUUCAUAAAGACAGCUGCACCCUACACUUGGUUGGACUGGGACGUUUUCAGCUAUCCAAAAUAAAACUUCGGUUUUCUAAUUUAAAGCUUUGUUUCAUGUCUACAUUCUGCUCUUGUAGUCUGCAUCUUCGCUCGC
rnacentral:lncRNA from 1 species